UUGUUUGAAUUUAAAAAUAAUUAAAUAUCUAUUUUUUUAAAGUAGUGGUUGUAGUGUUACCCAUUUCUUUACAAUGAGGAAAAAAACUGAAGACCAUGUUUCUGCCAAAUCAAGUUUAAGUUUUAAAUAUUUGUAAUUCAUUUUCUUUUAAAUUCUACUUAGAAAAAUGAAAAAUGAAGGUGGAAAUUGCUAAAAAUGCUAUCCAUGUUAUACUAUUCCUAAAAAAUUGCUGCUAAAUUACACGUCUGGAGCAGCAGUUGUGGUUGCAUUAUUGCAACAAAAGCAGAGACUUAGAAACCAACUAGACUCCUCCUUACCCAAUUCUCUCAAUUGCACUUGACACCACAUUUAAAAGACCCAAAAAAAAAAAAAAAAAAAAACAACCAAAACCAACCCCAAAGCCCACGUUUGUAACUUCUCCAUUUUCCUCAUUUUACUCUUUCAUGAUCACACACAACCUUCAACUCACAAAUAUACACCAUUAGAGUCUUUCAAGUUUCACGUGGCAACUACAAUGGAAUUGAAUUAAUUUUCAAAAGUUUGAAUUUUAAAUUUUUGAUUGAGAGUGGUUAUUUUUUUUAAAAAUUCAAAUUCACUAUAAAGAAGGGUUGCAAAGUGUCCACUUCCACGAUCAACUACUAAUUAACUGCUACAUUUAAAACAAAUUUAAUUUAUAAGAGGGCAACUUCUCUAUUCAGAUGGAGAAGUGCUUUCAUAAAAAAACAUUUUUCUUUAAAAGUUAUCGAAUAGAAUGGCUGGCUCUUCAUGAGAGCCUUUCUAAGGAAAAAGUGAGAAACUUCUCUCCCAUGGUAAAAGAAGUAGGUAGUUAUGGCAGUACUCCUCAUGUCACCAUUGAAGAAUUCCAAGAACUUUUUGGAAGCAUCGGACAAGUAAUAUGUGGCGAUGAUAUAAGACCCGUGGCCAUGGAGCAUAAAGCUAUACAGAUGAAAAAGGAUAUAACAUAGGAAAUGUUGUUUUGUCAUAUGAAGAUGCUUCUGCAGCACUCUGCUAUGGGCUUUUAAAAUAGUAAGAACCUGUAGUAGAAUGAUUUCUUUUAUGCACUAUAUGUCUUAACUGCUAACCAUGAAUUUGUUCACCAGAUUAUGACUUCAGAGGUUAAUUAUAAUAUCAGUGUUGCAAUGGCUGAGAAGUCUUCACUAAAGGCUCCUCCAGCAUAUGGUUUCUGGAACAACAACAGAAAAGGAAUAUUCAUCCUUUUCAACUUACUGUAACUCUGAAUAUAUCAUGUUCACAUGUUAUGCCUUAUCAUCAUAUGUGGAGCAAAGUUAAAAGUAGAUAAUUCUAUGCUCGACAAAUAUACAUCAUGUGGUUGGGUGCCCAAUUGAAGUAGCAAUUUCACCUUCCAAAGUUUCAUAUACUGUAAAGGAUACAUGUAUAAUGAUUUGAAUUGUGUAUUGCCUUCCCAUGAAUGGGAGCUUUUGUCACUCAAAGAUUUAUUUCUUUAACGGGGUAAUUUAAACCAAUAUGUAAUGGAAUGUAAUAGGGUUUGUGGUGCGAUUAUCACAUGUUCCAUAACAUGAUAACCCAAACAUGUGUUUCCCUCUCUAAUUAGGUAAAGAGAAAUAUUCAUCCUUUUCAAUUUACUGCAGCUCUGAAUAUAUCAUGUUCACAUGUUUAAUU